UACGUAGGGGGCUAGCGUUGUCCGGAAUCAUUGGGCGUAAAGCGCGUGUAGGCGGCCCGGUAAGUCCGCUGUGAAAGUCCAGGGCUCAACCCUGGAAUGCCGGUGGAUACUGUCGGGCUAGAGUUCGGAAGAGGCAAGUGGAAUUCCUGGUGUAGCGGUGGAAUGCGCAGAUAUCAGGAGGAACACCUAUAGCGAAGGCAGCUUGCUGGGACGACACUGACGCUGAGGCGCGAAAGCGUGGGGAGCGAACAGG
rnacentral:rRNA from 1 species